rnacentral:rRNA from 1 species
CCCUUAGAUGUUCUGGGCCGCACGCGCGCUACACUGAUGCAUUCAACGAGCCUAUCCUUGACCGACAGGUCCGGGUAAUCUUUGAAUCUGCAUCGUGACGGGGAUAGAUUAUUGCAAUUAUUAAUCUUCAACGAGGAAUGCCUAGUAGGCGCAAGUCAUCAGCUUGCGUCGAUUACGUCCCUGCCCUUUGUACACACCGCCCGUCGCACCUACCGAUUGAAUGGUCCGGUGAAGCCUCGGGAUUGUGGCGAGUUCCCUUUAUUGGGAGUUUGUCGCGAGAACUUGUCUAAACCUUAUCAUUUAGAGGAAGGUGAAGUCGUAACA